rnacentral:rRNA from 1 species
GAUGAACGCUGACAGAAUGCUUAACACAUGCAAGUCUUUGGCGAAGCUGUGCUUGCACAGCCUAGCCAAGGCGGACGGGUGAGUAACGCGUAAGGAACUUGCCCUGCAGUCAGGGAUAACAGACGGAAACGACUGAUAAGACCUGGUAAAGUCAGGCGGACUCAUGUCCAGCCUGAUGAAAAGUGAUGCUGCAGGAGAGCCUUGCGUCCUAUUAGCUUGUUGGUGGGGUAACGGCCCACCAAGGCGAUGAUAGGUAGCCGGCCUGAGAGGGUGGACGGCCACAAGGGGACUGAGAUACGGCCCUUACUCCUACGGGAGGCAGCAGUGGGGAAUAUUGGACAAUGGGGGCAAUCCUGAUCCAGCAAUUCUGUGUGCACGAUGAAGGUUUUCGGAUUGUAAAGUGCUUUCAGCAGGGAAGAAAAAAAUGACGGUACCUGCAGAAGAAGCGACGGCUAAAUACGUG